UCUCUACAACCGCACAGAAAAGGUUUUAAGUAUAAUCACCUUAAUGGCGAGUCUGAGAUUAAA
rnacentral:sRNA from 1 species